rnacentral:rRNA from 1 species
GACGAACGCUGGCGGCGUGCUUAACACAUGCAAGUCGAACGAAGUGGCGAACGGGUGAGUAAUACGUGUGUAACAUGCCCUGCUUUUUGGGAUAAGCCUUGGAAACGGGGUCUAAUACCGAAUAAAGGGGGAUGGGCUCGCGGCCUAUCAGCUUUGUGGUGGGGUGAUGGCCUACCAAGGCGGUGACGGGUGGCCGGCCUGAGAGGGUGACCGGCCACAUUGGGACGGAGAUACGGCACAGAAUCUGAAGGGGGGCAGAAGUGGGGGAUAUUGCACAAUGGGCGAAAGCCUGAUGCAGCGACGCCGCGGGGGGGAUGAAGGCUUUCGGGUUGUAAACCUCUUUCGCUAUCGAAGGGGUAGGUGGAGAAGAAGCGCCGGCUAACUACGUGCCAGCAGCCGCGGUAAUAC